AGAUGAAGUUUCUGAUUACUGAGUGGAUCAUAUCAAUUAUAUUUGGUCCAAACAUACUAUGGUCUUAACAAGAUAGGGAUACAAAGUGUAGAUACAGUGUCCAUCUUCCAGAGGCUUCAUGGCAUGCAGCAUAUAAUGUGUGUGCUUCAAGUAACAAGACACUGGUGACACUGACAUCACUUACUGAGAUGUACUAUAUAGAACUAGUCCUGGAAGAAGUUGAUGAAUUACUCGGAAAAAAAUUCAGUUUAAAAUACUCAGAAGGCCUGUGGGUUGGGGCUUUUUUGAGUUCUUCUAAUAAUGAAAGUAUGCUAGAAAACUGUGAUCAUCUUUAUUCCGAAAUCCCGGUAAAUUUAACUGGUAUAAGCCCCGAUGGGUUGUUUUGUCUUUAUUACAAUCCAGAAGAGCAGAAUCUUGUCACGGAAAACUGCACUUCAGAAAAAAUGUUUAUCUGCGAAAAAGAUGAUGAAGGUAAAUUGUGCUUUCUUUUCUAACAAAUAUAUGUCUCAAUCU